UAUCAUUGCUAUUUUUAUUCUUUACUCUAUUUUUAUAUUUAUCAUUCUAAUUUAAACAUAUUUCUAUUUUGAAGCAAUAAGCUUCAAGGGCAUAGUUUCAAUUGUUAUCUACUAAAAAUGACUGUUCUCAUGACGCUCUUACAGUUAAUCAUCAUUAAUGGUAAAUUAUUUUCUGUUUGUGAAAUCAACGGGAUUUUCUCAGGAAUGAGUGCACCCAAGCAGGCGCCACCACUUUUUCCCCUUACUCUACUGAAAACCCAUCAAACUUUGACCUCAAUACCGAGGUAUGUACUGAACCGUGACUUUUGUGAAACGUUCCACCCCAAAUGCAGUUAGUGCCAUUUGCAACAAACAAAAUGGAUCAGGGUGAGGUUUUUUUUUCUUUCUUCAAGGAUAAAGCAAAUUCUGCCAGUACAUUCACUAAAGUCAACAAAUGCAUACUAAUAAAGUUAAGUUAUUUAUUUAUUUUAUGGAUUCUAGUAUACAUUUACACAAGCUAAUACCUCCUGUAAUGACUUGGAUGAAUGACAGUUAUACUGUAAAUUUGUUUGUUGCCUUUGGUACUAAUUAGUCAAGUUUAGUCAAAGUUUCUUUCAUGCAACCACCUUAAACCCUACAGUCAGAACCAACACCAUGCCUUUUUAUUGAUGUUAAAUGGCCUUGUUUUCACCAUGCUUUCUAAAGCUUGUAGUUUGGUUUUUCACUCCUGUAGACCCAAAGGGACCUCUGGCUGAUGAUGUUUGAAACCGUGUCCUCUAGUGGUCAAAUGUGGACUUUUUAAAACAUCAUGGACAACUGGUAUUUGACAAGUGCUUUAUUCCAAAGUUCAAGUCACCUCUUGGGUAUAAACAGCUUUAGGCCACAGUACAACUUAAGGUACAGUCACAUUACACUACAAUGAAUAUUCACUUAGUCUCCCAUUCAUUUUCUAUUGAAUUUGACAAAUUCAAACAUCCAUUUCCUGUGUCCGUAUGAACUCCAUGGGUCAGAGUUCACUUUUGUUCAACGUUUACCUCACAGAUGUGCACGGUCGGCCAGUAGGAACACUGAUGAACUGUACUUGGAAAUGGAGGAGUCACUAUUCUAGCCCUGUGGCGCCACCUUCUUUUGUGCAACACCAGACUAAAAACUGCUGCAUCUCCCUCAUAGACGGUUUACAGUUAGUGAUCGCUCUGAUCAACAUUUAUUUAUAAUCAUGGUUAGAAUUGUGACAUGUCCUUUUUAGAGGCUGAGUGCAGGGCAAUUUUGUUAAAUGUGACUGUACCUUUUAGUUUCUAGGCCACAGGAAGUAGGAAGUCAGUACACUGCACAUUGGGAAUUAUAGGGCAUUUGAGUGAAUGGUUUGCAAAGUGUAAAGCCAAGAACAGACAGGUCUCCCUAAAAUGCAAAUCUUUUUAGUCCACCUGAAUGCAGUUGUGUCAUUUUUAAGUUAUAUAAGAACAUUUGUCAACUUUUUAUUACAAAUGCAUUAAAGGUUGAAAAUGCUUGAA